rnacentral:rRNA from 1 species
UGGGGAAUAUUGGACAAUGGGGGCAACCCUGAUCCAGCCAUGCCGCGUGAGUGAUGAAGGCCUUAGGGUUGUAAAGCUCUUUCACCCGGGACGAUAAUGACGGUACCGGGAGAAGAAGCCCCGGCUAACUUCGUGCCAGCAGCCGCGGUAAUACGAAGGGGGCUAGCGUUGUUCGGAAUCACUGGGCGUAAAGCGCACGUAGGCGGACCGUUAAGUCGGAGGUGAAAUCCUGGGGCUCAACCCCAGAACUGCCUUCGAUACUGGCGGUCUCGAGUCCGGAAGAGGUGAGUGGAACUGCCAGUGUAGAGGUGAAAUUCGUAGAUAUUGGCAAGAACACCAGUGGCGAAGGCGGCUCACUGGUCCGGUACUGACGCUGAGGUGCGAAAGCGUGGGGAGCAGACAGGAUUAGAUACCCUGGUAGUCCACGCCGUAAACGAUGAAUGCCAGCCGUCGGGCAGCAUGCUGUUCGGUGGCGCAGCUAACGCUUUAAGCAUUCCGCCUGGGGAGUACGGUCGCAAGAUUAAAACUUAAAGGAAUUGACGGGGUCAUAGCUGUUUCCU